AUUGAACGCUGGCGGCAGGCCUAACACAUGCAAGUCGAGCGGCAGCGGGAAAGUAGCUUGCUACUUUUGCCGGCGAGCGGCGGACGGGUGAGUAAUGCCUGGGAAAUUGCCCAGUCGAGGGGGAUAACAGUUGGAAACGACUGCUAAUACCGCAUACGCCCUACGGGGGAAAGCAGGGGACCUUCGGGCCUUGCGCGAUUGGAUAUGCCCAGGUGGGAUUAGCUAGUUGGUGAGGUAAUGGCUCACCAAGGCGACGAUCCCUAGCUGGUCUGAGAGGAUGAUCAGCCACACUGGAACUGAGACACGGUCCAGACUCCUACGGGAGGCAGCAGUGGGGAAUAUUGCACAAUGGGGGAAACCCUGAUGCAGCCAUGCCGCGUGUGUGAAGAAGGCCUUCGGGUUGUAAAGCACUUUCAGCGAGGAGGAAAGGUUGGUGCCUAAUACGUAUCAACUGUGACGUUACUCGCAGAAGAAGCACCGGCUAACUCCGUGCCAGCCGCCGCCGUAACAC
rnacentral:rRNA from 1 species